rnacentral:rRNA from 1 species
CAGUAGCCGCGGUAAUACAGAGGAUGCAAGCGUUAUCCGGAAUGAUUGGGCGUAAAGCAUCUGUAGGUGGCUUUUCAAGUCCGACAUCAAAUCCCAGGGCUCAACCCUGAACGGGCGAUGGAAACUACCAAGCUAGAGUAUGGUAGGGGUAGAAGGAAUUUCUGGUGGAGUGGUGAAAUGCAUUGAGAUCAGAGAGAACACCAACGGCAAAAGCACUCUGUUGGGUCAACACUGACACUAAGAGAUGAAAGCUAGGGAAGAAAAUGGGAUUAGAUACCCCUGUAGUCCCUGUCUCUUAUAC